ACAUUGAGUAGCAUCCUUCUAUAAACAGCCUCAAUGAUCUAUCUAAAUUCCUUUGCUGUUCUAUCCAAACUUGUCGUUGAGGUUCUCUUACUUGUCCUCCAUCAGUAGCCUCAUUAUAAUCGUUCAAAACACCAUUCGAUGUUAAAUAAAUAAAAAUAUAAUUACUCAAGAAUACCCAUGGCUCAGGAUUGUGCUGAUUUUGCAUGUGCAUCUGGAGAUGUCGGUGACUUACUUCCAACACAUUGUUGGUUCGCCAAACCGUGUCACUCACCGACAAUAUAUCUGCAUUUAUUCCUAUUGGCAAUGGUGUAGGACCUGCAAGCCAAGUUGAUCUAUAAUAUUCAAAUAAUAAUGUAAAAUUAUAAUCAUUAUUAUUGCUGAUCAAUGAUUGCACAUUCUCAAUAUAGUAUGCCCUUACAGUUUCAAAACCUUCAGCUAUACAAUUUGUCGGCAGCAAAGGCAAUGCCAUCAACAUAUGCACAGUGUCAUAGGCUCCUCGAUGGUUACUACAUAUAUCAAUCAAUCCUAAAUAUUAACCAGUGUUAUUAAUUGACUAUAUAUUUAAUUUAUUAUUAAUUACAAAUUCCGAUUUUAAAGUAAUCUUACCUAUAUUUGCAACUUUUCUCCAUACCGCUUGGGAGGAAUGAAACCAACAGCCUCUAAUAGUGGUAUUUGGAAACAUUGUUCUUAUAGCAGCAAUAGCUGCCCUUUCAAAAUCAACUAUUAUGGUUUGAGGUUGCCACUCUGGUACUAUGUUUAAAAUCUUAUUGAAAAGCGCCGUGUAUGCCCUUUCCGUUUUCCUCGACAUCAAUGCAAAACCUGUAGGAAAUCCCUGAAAAAAUAUUUUAAUAAAUAGAUUUUUAAAAAAAGUAACUUAAAAUAAUCUAAUUAGUAAAAUAGUUAUUUUAUAAUUUACUAUUAUUUAUUUACAAAUUACAUACAAAACUUACAGUAUUAAAUGUUAUGCCCAUUAUGAUGUAUAAUUGGUGGCAUUCGUUUCCAAAACUUGGUGAACUAGAAAAUGUGCCAUCCAACAAAAAAGUAGAACCAGUCCUAAGUAAACUAAAUUAAUUGUAUAAUAUUAUUGCAAAAUGAAAAAUAAAGUGGUUCCUUCUUCUAAAGUUGCACCAACAAUGCCAGAGUAUAUUGGUUCAUUUUGUAUCAUAGACAAGUGCGCAUAUUCUCCUGUUAAUUGUAAGUGGAAUUCAGUCAUAGACUGAGGAGUGACUGGAUGAAUUCGACGUCUAUGUCUACGCAUUGUUCUAUGCAGUGAGACAAAUGAACCGACA